UGCGUGUUUGGGAGCAUUCAUUCACCAGUCUUUUAAAGACUGCGUGAAUGUAAAGUAAGCGUGCGGUGAUUAAAAAAAUGCUUUUCCCUAAUUGUAGCCUACAGUUUACUGUUGAUAGCCGAUUAGUAAUGCCAAUGAGCACUCGCUGGAAUUUUGCUAUUUUAUACGACUUUCUAGUUGCAUUGUUACCCCGAAAACAAAACUGCUAUAGGCGCUGUGAAUUGGUGGACGUCAAUUCAGAAUAACUGGCGUGUGUAGGGAGGAGGCCGAUGGAGGACAACGACCUUGCGAGUAGAGGGGCCGGCGACGCCAGAGGCCCCCCAGUGUGGCCCGUGAUGAGGCGGCUGAGGGAAAGGGGGUACGGCGACGCCCCCGAUGUUUCCGCCAGGAGCGUUGCGCUGAGGCGCCUGGAGGCUGCCCCGGGGGGGAGACUGCGUUUGGGGUGGAGGGAAGGGUGGAGGCAGCGACGACGCUUCAGGGGGCUCCGCGACGUGUGGGGUCUGAUGGAGGCUGAGGUGUGGGGCCAAGUGCAGGGAGGAGGACAGUUGUUAUGACACGGAGAGGCCAGGGCCAGAUACUUACUCCACUCUCCUGUUAAAUACCCACCUGCUGGCGAGGGGGAUCAUCUCAGGAGGUCAGAGGUCAACACAACGUGCUUCUUGUAAGCCCCUUUCCAAGCAGGGAAACAUAUUUAUGGGAGAAGACAACUGGCUAACCACAAACAAAGCCUUUCAUCUCAGGACCUUAAACAUGCCCACACAACCCCCACCCAUCACUUCGAGAAAUCCAUCCAUUUCUCCCCCAACAGGAACUUGCUUCAAACUACGAAACCAUGCCCUUACCAGUUGGCACACACAUUGCAGCGUUAUAACAUGAGCCUGGCCAAACCCGAAGCUAUCCGGUUAACUGCACAAACCACCUGGCAGGCAAAGAGGAACCACAGAGGACAGCAUGAGCCCACAAAGGAGGGAACCAUUACACCGAUGAUGCAGCCUUUGCCUGCAACAUGAGUGUGGACAUCCUGUUCCACCUGACUACCUUCCCAUCAGAACAUUGAACACUAAGUCAACGCAGCCUUUAAAUGGAAGCUGUAUCUCAGCAGAUUGGAUCAGAUUAAUUUUAUAAAUGUUGUCAAUAAAGCUUGUGUUUUUGAACAGUU